CCUCCCAGAGUAGCUCAUUCGCCUAUUCCUCCCGUGCUCUAUGAACACGUGCUAAGCUCCUCCCCGGUGCCCUGCACUGUGCUGGGCAUGGAAAGGAAGCCGUGAGGACCAGGAGGAACGUCGAGACUUCCUGUCCCCACCAGGGUCAUCUUUCACGCAGGCUGCUGAGUGACAAACAAGCUUAGAACUAUGCCCCCACCCUGUUUGGACACCAAAACAAACCCAGCUGUCCCCAAGGCUGGACCGAAAGCACAGGAGUCUGGCAGGUGAGCCAAGGAGCCAGCAGGGAGAGUCACUCAGAGGCUUGCUCCUCUGGAUCUCUGCUCUGUUCUGCUCUGCUCUGAGACUAGAAAUCAUCAAUUCCAGAUUCUUCUAUAGCAAGAAACCUUCCACUACAGAAGUCCUCUGCAAAUGUCUCCUCUUUGGUGCAAACUGGUUCAGAUGUCCCUCCACCAAGACCUGUAUAAGAAGAUCAUCUGAUUGGCCAAGCUAAGCAAAGUGUACUCUGCAGAGAGGUACAACAGCACAUUGACUCUUUCGUCAUUUUGCUGGGAAACUCUGAGUUCUGUUAAGGAACAAAGAGGUAGGAACAACUGUCAGAAAGACAAACAACAAACACUCAAUAUAUCACAGAACAAAACCAAUGCUGCUUCAUGUAAAAUCUCCACGCAGAAUGUAGUCUAGGCCCAAGGUGACACGCUGUCACUAACCAUCACACUUCCUUCACCAAUCCUGCACCUCCACCCUCUCUACGCCAUCCUCGGCUCGAAGGCCGGCCUCUCUCACCAUCCUUCACAUCAUCUGACACUACCCUGACCAAAAGUUGAAGCAGCCUCCAGACCCCACUCCGUCUAGAUGAUUUUUGCUCCAGCGUCCCUGGAGAGCCAUCGACCUCCUCUGACUCAGAACAGAAGGCAGUGCGUUUUCAUGCAUGUGCGCGUCUGAUUUCCCCCAUUCUUCUUUGCUCUCUCCGCCCCCCCUUCCUGGCUUCAAGCCCGCCAUCAGCUCCUAAGACCUCAUCCUGAUAUUUAGAAUAAUAGUCUUUUCCCACAGGUCAUCAGCUUCUAAUACGAAUGUGUUUUCAUCAAUGGAAGGUGCAGAGUUGCAGGAAUUAUUCUACCACGGUUCAGAGUCGCAAGCUCGUUAAAGGCUGACUGUUGUACCUGCCAAAAGAAUGGCAAAGGAAGAAGCUAGACGACUUUAUUUUAAUUCAACUAAGCAAAGCAAUGCCCAGGAAGGGAGCUGAGGCACCUAAGAAGUGAGAAAACAAGGAGAAAAUAAAUAAACCACUAACAUCUCGACACUCGUUUUAUUGGCCUCUGAACUUCAACCGCAAUGGGGGACAUUCUAGUCACAAGCAUAGAAACUUAAGGAUGGG